rnacentral:rRNA from 1 species
UACGUAGGGUGCGAGCGUUAUUCGGAAUUACUGGGCGUAAAGCGUGCGCAGGCGGUUGUGUAAGACAGGUGUGAAAUCCCCGGGCUUAACCUGGGAACUGCGCUUGUGACUGCACGGCUAGAGUACGGCAGAGGGGGGUGGAAUUCCACGUGUAGCAGUGAAAUGCGUAGAUAUGUGGAGGAACACCGAUGGCGAAGGCAGCCCCCUGGGCCGAUACUGACGCUCAUGCACGAAAGCGUGGGGAGCAAACAGG